rnacentral:sRNA from 1 species
GCCGGGCAUGGGGGCCCACACCUGUGAUCCCAGCCCGUCAGGAGGCUGAGGCAGGAGGAUCAAGUGUUCAGUGCCAGCCUCAGCAACAGUGAGGCCCUAAGCAGCUCAGUGAGACCCUGUCUCUA